CUGUCCUGGGACCUACAAGUACCUGGAGGUGCAGUACGACUGUGUCCCCUACAAAGUGGAGCAGAAAGGGAUUGGGGGGGUGGGGCGGGGCCCCCCACCUUUCUGACAUCAGCGCUGCCUUGGUCCCUCUUCCCGAGCCGGGGAUGGUCGCAGUCUUCGUGUGCCCAGGGACCCUGCAGAAGGUGCUGGAGCCCACCUCGACACACGAGUCAGAGCACCAGUCUGGCGCAUGGUGCAAGGACCCGCUGCAGGCGGGUGACCGCAUCUACGUGAUGCCCUGGAUCCCCUACCGCACGGACACACUGACUGAGUAUGCCUCAUGGGAGGACUACGUGGCCGCCCGCCACACCACCACCUACCGCCUGCCCAACCGCGUGGAUGGCACAGGCUUUGUGGUCUACGAUGGUGCCGUCUUCUACAACAAGGAGCGCACGCGCAACAUCGUCAAGUAUGACCUACGGACGCGCAUCAAGAGCGGGGAGACGGUCAUCAAUACCGCCAACUACCACGACACCUCGCCCUACCGCUGGGGCGGAAAGACCGACAUUGACCUGGCGGUGGACGAGAACGGGCUGUGGGUCAUCUACGCCACUGAGGGCAACAACGGGCGGC
rnacentral:sRNA from 1 species